rnacentral:rRNA from 1 species
AACAAACGCUGGCGGCGUGCCUAAUACAUGCAAGUCGAACGGGGAAAGCUUUCGGGUGAGUACUAGUGGCGCACGGGUGGGUAACGCGUGGAUAAUCUGCCUUAGAGUGGGGGAUAACUAGUCGAAAGAUUAGCUAAUACCGCAUAAGACCACAAGAACUGCGGUUCAAGGGGUCAAAGGUUUUUCGCUCUAAGAUGAGUCCGCGUAAGAUUAGCUAGUUGGUAGGGUAACGGCCUACCAAGGCGACGAUCUUUAACUGGUCUGAGAGGAUGAUCAGUCACACUGGAACUGAGACACGGUCCAGACUCCUACGGGAGGCAGCAGUAGGGAAUAUUGCACAAUGGAGGAAACUCUGAUGCAGCGACGCCGCGUGAGUGAUGAAGGCCUUCGGGUCGUAAAGCUCUGUCGCAGGGGAAUAACACAAUGAAGGUACCCUGUAAGAAAGGAUCGGCUAACUUCGUGUCAGCCGCCGCGGUAACAC